rnacentral:rRNA from 1 species
GACGAACGCUGGCGGCGUGCCUAACACAUGCAAGUCGAGCGAAUGAAAUUCCUUCGGGAACGGAUUUAGCGGCGGACGGGUGAGUAACACGUGGGCAACCUGCCUCAUAGAGGGGAAUAGCCUUCCGAGAGGGAGAUUAAUACCGCAUAAGAUUGUAGUACCGCAUGGUACAGCAAUUAAAGGAGCAAUCCGCUAUGAGAUGGGCCCGCGGCGCAUUAGCUAGUUGGUGAGGUAACGGCUCACCAAGGCGACGAUGCGUAGCCGACCUGAGAGGGUGAUCGGCCACAUUGGGACUGAGACACGGCCCAGACUCCUACGGGAGGCAGCAGUGGGGAAUAUUGCACAAUGGGGGGAACCCUGAUGCAGCAACGCCGCGUGAGUGAUGACGGCCUUCGGGUUGUAAAGCUCUGUCUUCAGGGACGAUAAUGACGGUACCUGAGGAGGAAGCCACGGCUAACUACGUGCCAGCCGCCGCCGUAA